rnacentral:lncRNA from 1 species
AUGCCUGGGGUGGCCCGCUAUGCUGGGGGACACUUGGUGGCAGCCAGCCUCCGCGGGUUCUGCCGUCCUCCUCCUCUUUCACAGGUCAAGGGACAGGGUUCAGCGGCUCCUCCAGGCCAUGGGGCGGAGGUGGGUGAAGAAGAGGGCAAAGGCUCAUUCUUGUCUCUGUUGCAGGGUGGAGAGCAGGUCAGCCGUCCUCAAAACAUCUCGCACACCCUGGUGGGUCCCCAAGUGUCACUCAGCCUGAAGGAAGUUGUCCAUCAAAGCCGGGGAGGCUGUGGGAAUACCUGCAGGGCAGGAGGUGGCAAAAGACCGGUCUCUUUCAUCUUUAUGCCAAGCUCAGAGACUCUCCACAGAGAAGAACUGAACCUGAGAGCUGCCUACCCCCAGAGAGAUCAUUUCAUGAACAUGAAGGAAAUGAAGCCCAGCCUGGUGGAGGAAGGACUCAUGGGCUCACCCUCUGCCUCCUCUCUGUGGCUGGAUUUCCACAAGGACUGAGAUGUCCACUCCUCACUGCGCCUCUCGCCUUCCAUGCUCAAGCCUUGCCUGCCCAGUAUGUUAUUUCUCAAUGGACAAGCUUAACAGAGAUGUCUUGGGUUUUUAAAAAUAGUUAAUAUUUAAAUAUUAAUUGAGCCAUUAAUUACAUCUGAGCCCCAGAACAAAACAGCUGUGAAUAAUUAAUGACAGGGCCUAUAGUAAAUGCCUCUAAUAAUUCACAAAGCAACUGAACCAGGUAUCUUCAGAGCAUUCAGUGAGAGGAGAAGCAGAGAAGAGGGGAGGCGAGCAGGGGCAAGAGUGAUGAGGGAAGGAGCUGAGUAGAAAUGAAGCAUCAGGGGCUGCUUGGUACUGGUCCUUCAAGGAUUUCUCAGCAUUUGCACCAGGGGAUGUUCAGGCUGGAUAUUAGGAAGAAUUUCUUCCCAGAAGGAGAUGUGAGGUAUAGGAACAGGCUGCCCAGGGAGAUGGUGGAGUCACUGGGUGUGCUUAAGGAGAGGGUAGAUAUGAUACUUAGAUAUAUGGUUUAGUGAACAGUGUUGGUGGUUGGUGGAUGGUUAGAUUAGAUUACCUUAGGGAUGUCUUUUCCAACCUUUGUGAUUCUACGAUUCUAUAAUUCUAUGAUCUUCAGUACAUCCAUGCUGAAAAGGGUAGAUUUCCUCUCUGAUUUCUAGGGGGGGAAACCGAAUCACAGGGAGACAUAGUCUUCCCCAGAAAUGGACUUUGGGAGACCACAGGUAGUCCAGGUAUGCUUCCCUACAGCUGUGCCUCAAGGGUUAUGGCCUGUGGCUUCACACAGCUGGCCACGUGAGAUCUCACCACCCCUCCUGGAGCUGGGCACCAAUGAUCUCUCUGUGCUUCAGCCUAUUUGUGCAGGGUGGUGUGAUCCCAUGGGCCAGCCUCUCGCUGUAUCUGGCAACGUCUUCAAGGCAGAGAUAUUUCACCAUUCGUAGCCAUCCACAAGCUCCACAUCUCGGAGGUGAAUGCUGCAUCUCCCUCCGAGGCUGCUGAGGAGAGGAUUCGUCACAGCUCCCCACGGUUGAUUGACAGCCAUUAAAUGAGCAUGAGUUACCAUUCUUCUUGAUGGCCCAAUAGAUACAUGACACGCACCCCACUGUUACCAAAGAAGCUUCCCUUUGCGAGAGAUGAAAAUGAUACAACGCACCAUGUGCUUGAAAACUGUGACCCUCCCGACCAUAUUAACAACCGUGUAAUCAGCAAGCAUCAGGGCCUUUCUAAUGAAGCACUGCCAUUCUCCCCAAGCCAUGCAAAGACUUGGCUAAAUGCGGCUUUGUUCCUUUUAACAGAUGAAAAAUUCAGUCCCCUUUCUUAGCUUAUUGACCUCCUGCAAAUACAGGAGGGAAAGAAGCCACUGCCUUUCUGGUUCUGGUAGCAUGAUAUUCACAACUUAGAGCCAUAAGGAGAAUAACAAAACGGAUUGGAAUAAUUAUAUCAGUUUCUACUUCUCUAUCUACGUGCAUGCAGAGUUUAUAAAUUAACCAAAAACACUCGCAAAUCUGCAUAACCAGUUACCUAUGUUCCUAAUGCUUUCAAUUUAUUCUAAUAAACAUUUAAUGAAUGCUUUAUAAGGCCUUAGG